rnacentral:rRNA from 1 species
UACGUAGGUGGCAAGCGUUGUCCGGAAUUAUUGGGCGUAAAGCGCGCGCAGGCGGUCCUUUAAGUCUGAUGUGAAAGCCCACGGCUCAACCGUGGAGGGUCAUUGGAAACUGGGGGACUUGAGUGCAGAAGAGGAAAGCGGAAUUCCACGUGUAGCGGUGAAAUGCGUAGAGAUGUGGAGGAACACCAGUGGCGAAGGCGGCUUUCUGGUCUGUAACUGACGCUGAGGCGCGACAGCGUGGGGAGCAAACAGG